AUUGAACGCUGGCGGCAUGCUUUACACAUGCAAGUCGAACGGUAACAGGCCGCAAGGUGCUGACGAGUGGCGAACGGGUGAGUAAUGCAUCGGAACGUGCCCAGUCGUGGGGGAUAACGCAGCGAAAGCUGCGCUAAUACCGCAUACGAUCUCUGGAUGAAAGCGGGGGACCGAAAGGCCUCGCGCGAUUUGAGCGGCCGAUGGCAGAUUAGGUAGUUGGUGGGGCAAAGGCUCACCAAUCCAACGCUCUGUAGCUGGUCUGAGAGGACGACGAGGCACACGAGGACAGAGACAGAGCCCAGACUCCUACGGGAGGCAGCAGGGGGGAAUGUUGGACAAUGGAGGCGAGCCUGAUCCAGCAAUGCCGCGUGCAGGAAGAAGGCCUUCGGGUUGUAAACUGCUUUUGCACGGAACGAAACGGUCCUGGUUAAUACCUGGGGCUAAUGACGGUACCGUAAGAAUAAGCACCGGCUAACUACGUGCCAGCCGCCGCGGUAAGAC
rnacentral:rRNA from 1 species